rnacentral:lncRNA from 1 species
UGGGGGAACCUGGAAUGCUACAGGUGGUGGUGGUACCUCUGGUACAUUUUGUGUAACCCUCCUAAGCAACUCAGCUAUUUGCUGAAAUAAUGCAUCCUGCCCUAGUCCGCCAGCAGCAGCAGGUGGAGGAGUAGCAGCAGGUGCAGCUGUCUCAGAGGGAGCAUGACUCUCUACCUCCUCAUCUAUUGCUCUCUGUGAGUCAGAUGACAUCUUAUAUACGACCUAAACACAAAAAGAAGAGAUUUACAUCAGAACCAUAUCAUAGCUGUAACUCAUUUUGGCAUGUACAUAUACUAUGCAUAUACACAUACAUACUAUGACCUAGAACUGCCUAAACCUACGCUCUGAUACCACUAAUUGUAACACCCCUUACCCUAUCAAAGAGUAGACAGAGCAAGGAAUGUCACAAACUAUACCUUUUUAGAUAAAUCACAACUAAAUAAUUACCUUUAUCUAUAAAUACCAAAUUUUAAGGUAAUGCAUGUAAAUUUCAUCAAAUAAAUAUGAGAUUUUAAACCAAAAAUUUAACAGAGUCUCAUCUGUUUCAUUAAUAUUUCAAACUGUAGCACAUGAAAAACACAUGAAAAAUUAUCAACUGAUAUUUGACAUCUUACUAUUCUUUGAUUACAUAACCUUUACAACUCACUCUAUUAAAUAUGUACAUGCCAAAAUAUAACUGCACUAUGACUCAGAGACUCAAAACAACCAGCUAUGAUAAUGGCCUUGGUAUCUGAUGUAGACCUCUGAUGAACUUCACGUGC